rnacentral:rRNA from 1 species
AAAGCGCACGUAGGCGGAUCUUUAAGUCGGGGGUGAAAUCCCGGGGCUCAACCCCGGAACUGCCUUCGAUACUGGGGAUCUUGAGUCCGGAAGAGGUGAGUGGAACUCCUAGUGUAGAGGUGGAAUUCGUAGAUAUUAGGAAGAACACCAGUGGCGAAGGCGGCUCACUGGUCCGGUACUGACGCUGAGGUGCGAAAGCGUGGGGAGCAAACAGGAUUAGAUACCCUAGU